GGAUGCAAGGGCAGACUGACUGCCACAUCUGCCAUCCCCUUGAUUUUGAGCACUGCUUUGGCUGACCUGACACCUAGGCAGAUGUUCACCAUUCUCCCUCACAACUCCCUCUGAAGGGGUGUUCUCCUUAUAUGAGACAACUUUCUCUCCCCUCUCAGAACUUCUCUAGGAAGGAGGGUGGAGCAGUAGCUGCACUCCCUGCAAGGACAAGCACACAAGCUUUUGUGGGAGAAUGCAGAGUAAUAAAGCUUUCAAAACCCCAGGCCCAGCCAAAUGAGGCACUGCAUGUGGUCAUCUGACUUCCCUG
rfam:Cricetulus griseus cell line CHO-K1, whole genome shotgun sequence.